rnacentral:rRNA from 1 species
UACGUAGGGUGCGAGCGUUGUCCGGAAUUAUUGGGCGUAAAGGGCUCGUAGGCGGUCUGUCACGUCGGGAGUGAAAACUCAGGGCUUAACCCUGAGCCUGCUUCCGAUACGGGCUGACUAGAGGUAUGCAGGGGAGAACGGAAUUCCUGGUGUAGCGGUGAAAUGCGCAGAUAUCAGGAGGAACACCGGUGGCGAAGGCGGUUCUCUGGGCAUUACCGGACGCUGAGGAGCGAAAGUGUGGGGAGCGAACAGG